CCCUUAGAUGUUCUGGGCUGCACGCGCGCUACACUGAUGCGCUCAACAAGUUUAUGACCUUGCCCGGAAGGGUUGGGUAAUCUUCUUAGCACGCAUCGUGAUGGGGAUAGAUUAUUGCAAUUAUUAAUCUUCAACGAGGAAUUCCUAGUAAGCGCGAGUCAUCAGCUCGUGCUGAUUACGUCCCUGCCCUUUGUACACACCGCCCGUCGCUACUGCCAACUGAGAUGGGUCCUGAAUUGUUAGGAACGCCCGUCAAGGGGCCUACCCGGUCCCUAGUGCGGUGACGAGAAUAACUGUAAAUGGCAUAUCUUGUAGGGAGUAAAAGUCGUAACA
rnacentral:rRNA from 1 species